GGUUGAUCCUGCCAGUAGUCAUAUGCUUGUCUAAAAGAUUAAGCCAUGCAUGUCUAAGUAUAAGCAAACUUGUACUGUGAAACUGCGAACGGCUCAUUAAAUCAGUUAUAAUUUACUUGAUCGUAUUUCAUUCUUACAUGGAUAACCGUAGGAAUUCUAGAGCUAAUACAUGAAAAAAAUCUGGACCUCUUUUAGAGGAAAGGAUGAAUUUAUUAGAUUACCAACCAACGCAGGGUAUUCCAAACCACAUUGGACUAGUGCUGAUGUGGGCUCUGGUCUUUUUAAGACAGUU
rnacentral:rRNA from 1 species